CAAAACCCAAUCCAAAAGUUUUCCUAUAAAAGGCUCUCUUUAGAUCAAAAUUAGACAAGUCUUGAUAUAGUGAUAAACUUGUUUCGAACAAACAAAUGAAUUCUUUCUUUUAGUAAAUUUUUUUUACGAAAAGUAGCCAGCUAGUCAGAAUUUUUGCCGCGGCAUCGACACUUUUUAGUGGUAGUCAAGGUUCCGACGACAACUCGGGGUCCCAUUUUGCUGCCCUAAAAUAGCUUUAGAGUCCAAAUGGACUCAAUUUCUCCUUGCAUUUUCUUCAUGGGAUAAUGAGGCUCAUCUCUUCGAGUCAUGAUUCAGACUAAGUCCAAACAAUGAUCCAAGGCAUACUGGUAUAAGAAGAUGGAAGAGGAAAAAUGGGUCAAAACCUAUUGAUAGAGAUGUUAAGAUACUUAACAAGUCUCUAUUUAUAUUCAUGUUUUUACUUUUUUAUUUAUUUAUUCAUUCAUUCAUUAAGGCAUCGAAGCCAAAAUUGUAAAUUAAUAUACGUGAAGCCGAUUUUGGGCCAAAGGACCCGAAAAAGAUAGUAGAGGACAGGUUAUGGGCCAAAAGCCCAAUAUUUAGAUUAGGAUAGGUGAAGAUAGGCCAAAAGCCCAAAUGAAUAGAUUAGGACAAGUGAAGAUGGGUCAAAAACCCAAUUGAUUAAUUUAGGACAGGGUUUAUAGAUUUUGGCUUAAGAGCCUAGAUCGUUUACUUCUCCCCCUUUCUCUUUCUGUGCUUAUUUGUUAUUUAUUUUCUUAGACUUAGUUAAAUUCCCUAUUAAGUCUUCAAAAAUUUAUUUUACACAAGUUCUUCCUUAAUCACUUUCAAAAAAAAAAAAAUCAGCUUCUCUGUUUUAGUUAGUCAAAAGUCGUUUUGAAAUAGCCUGGAUAACCGCAAGUUAGCGAACAUUUUAGGUUCCUUAAAAACCUUUCUAAAAUGUUAAUAAGGACUUUAUACCCAGAAUUUUUCUGAAAAUUCUAAGUCUUUUUUUGUUUUAAGACUUGGAGUUUUCUUUUAAAAGUUUCCUUAAUUUCUUUUCAAAAAAAUUAAGUGGUGACUCUGUAAUUUUUUAAAUUAUUUAAAAUUUUCUUAAAAGUUUUUAAAAUGGUUUAAAUAGUCGAAAUCAAUUUUUUUCAAUCUUUUGGAUUAAAAAGGGGAUAAAACACCAGGUAAGAUUGAUCCAGGACCAAUUUUGGCAGCUCAGAGUAGACAGAAGAGUUAUGUUUUGGGGUCGUAACUUGGAGUUCAUGCAGUUUGAAUGGGUCUUGUGAAGGUAUCAUGAAGGGUGUGAUGAGGUUUGGGAAGAAAGGAAAGCUCAGUCUGAGGUUUAUUGUCCCUUUUGAGAUUCUUCAGCAAGUUGGUGGUCGUUUAUGGGUUGACUUUGCCACCGGGUCUUUCAGUCGUACAUCUAGUUUUUUGAUGUUGAAAAGGUACCAUCCAGAUGAUUCAUAUGUGAUUCAGUGGUAUUGAGUGAGUUUGGAUUAGAAUUUGGCUUUUGAGGAAAAUCCUAUAGCUAUUCUGGAUAGACAGGUUAAAAAGUUGAGGUCAAAAGAUAUAUACAAUAGAGUCAUCGUCCCAUAGUGGAAGCCACUUAAAAGGUUGAGUACGACAUGCAGAGUAGAUUUCCUCAUCUCUUUGAUAGUCCAGGUAUCAUCUUUCUCUUCACGUUCGAGGAUGAAUGUUUAUUUUAAUGGUGGAUGAUAUAAUGACCCCUGAGUCAUUUUGUGAAUUUUUGUUAUUUAACCUUCCUCAUAGUUCUUAGACAUGACUUGUGGCUUACAAGGCGGGUGGUACCAAUCCUUGAGGUGUCCGAAAGUGAAUUAAGUCAUAGAUUCGUUCUUAUCAAGUUCAACCAUGAUCAACUUAUGGUCAAGAUGACCUUGAUUUGGUAUUUUUAGAGUUACCGUUGUGUCCUGAAUGUGAUUUUUGGUGAAGUUACAUAUUCAGUUUGUUUUCA